rnacentral:rRNA from 1 species
GACGAACGCUGGCGGCAGGCUUAACACAUGCAGGUCGAACGCCCCGCAAGGGGAGUGGCAGACGGGUGAGUAACGCGUGGGAACAUACCCUUUCCUGCGGAAUAGCUCUGGGAAACUGGAAUUAAUACCGCAUACGCCCUACGGGGGAAAGAUUUAUCGGGGAAGGAUUGGCCCGCGUUGGAUUAGCUAGUUGGUGGGGUAAAGGCCUACCAAGGCGGCGAACCAUAGCUGGUCUGAGAGGAUGAUCAGCCAAAUUGGGACUGAGACACGGCCCAAACUCCUACGGGAGGCAGCAGUGGGGAAUAUUGGACAAUGGGCGCAAGCCUGAUCCAGCCAUGCCGCGUGAGUGAUGAAGGCCUUAGGGUUGUAAAGCUCUUUCACCGAUGAAGAUAAUGACGGUAGUCGGAGAAGAAGCCCCGGCUAACUUCGUGCCAGCAGCCGCCGUAAAAC